AUUCCUACGGGAGGCAGCAGUGAGGAAUAUUGGUCAAUGGCCGGAAGGCUGAACCAGCCAUGCCGCGUGAAGGUCAGUGCCCUAUGGGCGUUAAACUUCUUUUGUGCGGGAGCAAUAAUGGUCACGUGUGGCCAGACGAGAGUACCGUACGAAUAAGCAUCGGCUAACUCCGUGCCAGCAGCCGCGGUAAUACGGGGGAUGCAAGCGUUAUCCGGAUUUACUGGGUGUAAAGGGAGCGUAGACGGCAGCGCAAGUCUGGAGUGAAAUGCCGGGGCCCAACCCCGGAACUGCUCUGGAAACUGUGA
rnacentral:rRNA from 1 species